GACGAACGCUGGCGGCGUGCUUAACACAUGCAAGUCGAACGGAAAGGCCCUGCUUUUGUGGGGUGCUCGAGUGGCGAACGGGUGAGUAACACGUGAGUAACCUGCCCUUGACUUUGGGAUAACUUCAGGAAACUGGGGCUAAUACCGGAUAGGAGCUCCUGCUGCAUGGUGGGGGUUGGAAAGUUUCGGCGGUUGGGGAUGGACUCGCGGCUUAUCAGCUUGUUGGUGGGGUAGUGGCUUACCAAGGCUUUGACGGGUAGCCGGCCUGAGAGGGUGACCGGCCACAUUGGGACUGAGAUACGGCCCAGACUCCUACGGGAGGCAGCAGUGGGGAAUAUUGCACAAUGGGCGGAAGCCUGAUGCAGCAACGCCGCGUGCGGGAUGACGGCCUUCGGGUUGUAAACCGCUUUCGCCUGUGACGAAGCGUGAGUGACGGUAAUGGGUAAAGAAGCACCGGCUAACUACGUGCCAGCAGCCGCGGUGAUACGUAGGGUGCGAGCGUUGUCCGGAUUUAUUGGGCGUGAAGGGCUCGUAGGUGGUUGAUCGCGUCGGAAGUGUAAUCUUGGGGCUUAACCCUGAGCGUGCUUUCGAUACGGGUUGACUUGAGGAAGGUAGGGGAGAAUGGAAUUCCUGGUGGAGCGGUGGAAUGCGCAGAUAUCAGGAGGAACACCAGUGGCGAAGGCGGUUCUCUGGGCCUUUCCUGACGCUGAGGAGCGAAAGCGUGGGGAGCGAACAGGCUUAGAUACCCUGGUAGUCCACGCUGUAAACGGUGGGUACUAGGUGUGGGGUCCAUUCCACGGGUUCCGUGCCGUAGCUAACGCUUUAAGUACCCCGCCUGGGGAGUACGGCCGCAAGGCUAAAACUCAAAGGAAUUGACGGGGCCCCGCACAAGCGGCGGAGCAUGCGGAUUAAUUCGAUGCAACGCGUAGAACCUUACCUGGGUUUGACAUGGAUCGGGAGCGCUCAGAGAUGGGUGUGCCUCUUUUGGGGUCGGUUCACAGGUGGUGCAUGGCUGUCGUCAGCUCGUGUCGUGAGAUGUUGGGUUAAGUCCCGCAACGAGCGCAACCCUUGUUCACUGUUGCCAGCACGUUAUGGUGGGGACUCAGUGGAGACCGCCGGGGUCAACUCGGAGGAAGGUGGGGAUGACGUCAAGUCAUCAUGCCCCUUAUGUCCAGGGCUUCACGCAUGCUACAAUGGCUGGUACAGAGAGUGGCGAGCCUGUGAGGGUGAGCGAAUCUCGGAAAGCCGGUCUCGGUUCGGAUUGGGGUCUGCAACUCGACCUCAUGAAGUCGGAGUCGCUAGUAAUCGCAGAUCAGCAACGCUGCGGUGAAUACGUUCCCGGGGCU
rnacentral:rRNA from 1 species